GACCUUGUGCCUACUGGGCUGUGGGGAUCCCUUUCCUCAGCCAGGGCUAGAGGCCAAGAUCAGCCCUUGACACAGUCAUGAGAACUGCAUGGGUGAGCAGCCCCGUAUUCCUACUGCAGACAUUC
ensembl:scaRNA